rnacentral:rRNA from 1 species
UGGCCGUAAACGAUGUGGACUUGGUGUUGGAAUGGCUCCGAGCUGCUCCAGUGCCGAAGGGAAGCUGUUAAGUCCACCGCCUGGGAAGUACGGUCGCAAGGCUGAAACUUAAAGGAAUUGGCGGGGGGAGCACCACAACGCGUGGAGCCUGCGGUUUAAUUGGAUUCAACGCCGGACAUCUCACCAGGGGCGACAGCUGAAUGAUGGCCAGGUUGAUGACCUUGCUUGACAAGCUGAGAGGAGGUGCAUGGCGUGUGACUGU